GCCGGUGUGGCUCAGUGGAUAGAGAGCGUCAGCCUGCAAACUGAAAGGUCCCAGGUUCGAUUCCAGUCAAGGGCA
rfam:Myotis lucifugus cont2.54269, whole genome shotgun sequence.